UCAGAAUGAAGGAGUUUGCACUGAUGGAGACAACACCUUUACUUGUGUCUGUGCUGAUGGCUGGACUGGGACUACGUGUGAGGAUACCGACGAAUGUUUUGCCGUUCCUUGUAAGAAUGAAGGAGUUUGCACUGAUGGAGACAACACCUUUACUUGUGUCUGUGCUGAUGGCUGGACUGGGACUACGUGUGAAGAUACCGACGAAUGUUUUGACGUUCCUUGU
rnacentral:lncRNA from 1 species